UACGAAGGGGGCUAGCGUUGCUCGGAAUCACUGGGCGUAAAGGGUGCGUAGGCGGGUCUUUAAGUCAGGGGUGAAAUCCUGGAGCUCAACUCCAGAACUGCCUUUGAUACUGAAGAUCUUGAGUCCGGGAGAGGUGAGUGGAACUGCGAGUGUAGAGGUGAAAUUCGUAGAUAUUGUCCAAGAACACCAGUGGCGAAGGCGGCUCACUGGCCCGGUACUGACGCUGAGGCACGAAAGCGUGGGGAGCAAACAGGG
rnacentral:rRNA from 1 species